CUGGGGAUAUGGCUCAGUUGGUAGAGUGCUUGCCUCAUAUGCACAAGGCCCUGGUUUUGAUCCCCAACACCAGA
rnacentral:tRNA from 1 species